rnacentral:rRNA from 1 species
CAGCAGCCGCGGUAAUACGAAGGGGGCUAGCGUUGCUCGGAAUUACUGGGCGUAAAGCGCACGCAGGCGGUUUGUUAAGUCAGAUGUGAAAUCCCCGAGCUUAACUUGGGAACUGCAUUUGAAACUGGCAGGCUAGAGUCUUGUAGAGGGGGGUGGAAUUCCGCGUGUAGCAGUGAAAUGCGUAGAUAUGCGGAGGAACACCGAUGGCGAAGGCAGCCCCCUGGGCCAAUACUGACGCUCAUGCACGAAAGCGUGGGGAGCAAACAGGAUUAGAUACCCCGGUAGUCCCUGUCUCUUAUAC